GGGUCAGUAGGUUGGUCGUGCCACCGGUACGUACUGGUCUCACUGAUUCCUCCUUCCUGAAGAACCGUAAUGCCAUUAAUUUGGUGUUGCGGGGAAACAGGACUGUUACUUUGAAAAAUUAGAGUGUUUAAAGCAAGCUAACGCUCGAAUACAUUAGCAUGGAAUAAUGAAAUAGGACGAUCGAUCCUAUUUUGUUGGUUUCUAGGAUUGACGUA
rnacentral:rRNA from 1 species